GCGAGGUGGUGCUAAUCCUAGAAAAUCUUCGUAGUCCGGAUUGGAGUCUGCAACUCGACUCCAUGAAGUCGGAAUCGCUAGUAAUCGCGAAUCAGCAUGUCGCGGUGAAUACGUUCUCGGGUCUUGUACACACCGCCCGUCACACCAUGGAAGUGGAUUGCACCAGAAGUAGAUAGUCUAACCUUCGGGAGGGCGUUUACCACGGUGUGCUUCAUGACUGGGGUGAAGUCGUAACAAGGUAGCCGUAGGGGAACCUGUGGCUGGAUCACCUCCUU
rnacentral:rRNA from 1 species